UAAUACAGAGGUCUCAAGCGUUAAUCGGAAUCACUGGGCUUAAAGGGUGCGUAGGCGGCCCCGAAAGCGUCGUGUGAAAGCCCCUGGCUCAACCAGGGAACAGCACGGCGAACUACGGGGCUUGAGAAAACUAGGGGCCGACAGAACAGUAGGUGGAGCGGUGAAAUGCGUAGAUAUCUACUGGAAUGCCGAUGGUGAAGACGGUCGGCUGGGGUUUUUCUGACGCUGAGGCACGAAAGCGUGGGGAGCAAACAGGAUUAGAUACCCUGGUAGUCCACGCCGUAAACGAUGCACACUAGACCGGUGCGGCUCUGACGCCGGAUCGGUCGCCGUAAAAACAUUAAGUGUGCCGCCUGGGGAGUACGGUCGCAAGGCUA
rnacentral:rRNA from 1 species